UGAGCAAUCUGCCCUUCUCUUCGGAAUAACCAUUGGAAACGAUGGCUAAUGCCGAAUAUGACCUCGGAACACAUGUUCUGAGGUGGAAAGCUCCGGCGGAGAAGGAUGAGCUCGCGGCCUAUCAGCUAGUUGGUGUGGGUAAUGGCCCACCAAGGCGACGACGGGUAGCCGGCCUGAGAGGGCGACCGGCCACACUGGGACUGAGACACGGCCCAGACCUCCGUAGGAGG
rnacentral:rRNA from 1 species